CCCAGACUCCUACGGGAGGCAGCAGUGGGGAAUAUUGCACAAUGGGGAAACCCUGAUGCAGCGACGCCGCGUGAGUGAGGAAGUAUUUCGGUAUGUAAAGCUCUAUCAGCAGGGAAGAAAAAAUGACGGUACCUGACUAAGAAGCACCGGCUAAAUACGUGCCAGCAGCCGCGGUAAUACGUAUGGUGCAAGCGUUAUCCGGAUUUACUGGGUGUAAAGGGAGCGCAGGCGGUACGGCAAGUCUGAUGUGAAAGCCCGGGGCUCAACCCCGGUACUGCAUUGGAAACUACCGGACUGGAGUGUCGGAGGGGUAAGUGGAAUUCCUAGUGUAGCGGUGAAAUGCGUAGAUAUUAGGAGGAACACCAGUGGCGAAGGCGGCUUACUGGACGAUCACUGACGCUGAGGCUCGAAAGUGUGGGGAGCAAACAGGAUUAGAUACCCUUGUA
rnacentral:rRNA from 1 species